rnacentral:rRNA from 1 species
GAUGAACGCUAGCGGCAGGCUUAAUACAUGCAAGUCGAGGGGUAACAUGGGUAGCAAUACCUGAUGACGACCGGCAAACGGGUGCGGAACAUGUACGCAAUCUUCCCAAAACUGGUGAAUAGCCCUCCGAAAGGAGGAUUAAAUACACCGUAACAUAACGAAGUGGCAUCACUUUGUUAUUAUAGCUCCGGCGGUUUUGGAUGAGCGUGCACCUGAUUAGGUAGUUGGCGGGGUAACGGCCCACCAAGCCUACGAUCAGUAACUGGUGUGAGAGCACGACCAGUCACACGGGCACUGAGACACGGGCCCGACUCCUACGGGAGGCAGCAGUAAGGAAUAUUGGUCAAUGGACGAAAGUCUGAACCAGCCAUGCCGCGUGAAGGAUGAAGGUCCUCUGGAUUGUAAACUUCUUUUAUAUGGGACGAAAAAAAGGGAAUUCUUUCUCACUUGACGGUACCAUAGGAAUAAGCACCGGCUAACUCCGUAGCCAGCAG